AUACCAGCUCUCCGAGUGGUGAGGAUGUUUAUUGGGCCUAAAGCAUCCGUAGCUGGCUAGGUCAGUCCCUUGUUAAAUCCACCGAAUUAAUCGUUGGAUUGCGGGGGAUACUGCCUGGCUAGGGAACGAGAGAGGCAGACGGUAUUUUCGGGGUAGGGGUGAAAUCCUAUAAUCCCGGGAAGACCACCAGUGGCGAAGGCUGUCUGCUAGAACGCGUCCGACGGUGAGGGAUGAAAGCUGGGGGAGCGAACCGGAUUAGAUACCCGGGUAGUCCCAGCUGUAAACGAUGCAGGCUAGGUGUUUGGACGGCCACGUGCCGUUCUAGUGCCGCAGGGAAGCUGUUAAGCCUGCCGCCUGGGGAGUACGAUCGCAAGAUUGAA
rnacentral:rRNA from 1 species